UGGGGAAUAUUGGACAAUGGGCGCAAGCCUGAUCCAGCCAUGCCGCGUGAGUGAUGAAGGCCCUAGGGUUGUAAAGCUCUUUCACCGGUGAAGAUAAUGACGGUAACCGGAGAAGAAGCCCCGGCUAACUUCGUGCCAGCAGCCGCGGUAAUACGAAGGGGGCUAGCGUUGUUCGGAUUUACUGGGCGUAAAGCGCACGUAGGCGGUCUUUUAAGUCAGGGGUGAAAUCCCGGGGCUCAACCCCGGAACUGCCUUUGAUACUGGAAGUCUUGAGUAUGGUAGAGGUGAGUGGAAUUCCGAGUGUAGAGGUGAAAUUCGUAGAUAUUCGGAGGAACACCAGUGGCGAAGGCGGCUCACUGGACCAUUACUGACGCUGAGGUGCGAAAGCGUGGGGAGCAAACAGG
rnacentral:rRNA from 1 species